rnacentral:rRNA from 2 species
UACGUAGGGGGCAAGCGUUGUCCGGAAUCAUUGGGCGUAAAGCGCGCGUAGGCGGCCCGGUAAGUCCGCUGUAAAAGUCCAGGGCUCAACCCUGGAAAGCCGGUGGAUACUGUCGGGCUCGAGUCCGGAAGAGGCGAGUGGAAUUCCUGGUGUAGCGGUGGAAUGCGCAGAUAUCAGGAGGAACACCGAUGGCGAAGGCAGCUCGCUGGGACGGUACUGACGCUGAGGCGCGAAAGCGUGGGGAGCGAACAGG